UCACAUACUUGGCCUCUCUUCAAUGCUUUUGGCCUUUCAUAACUAAUACCUAUUCCUUGGCUAUGGUAUCUUCUUUGCCAAGACUUACCAUAGUCUAAUUUAAUACUUAAUAUUAAAAAAAAAUCAAAGAUUACUCCUUACUGUUAAUAAUAUGUCUCCCCCAAAAGUCCUCAGCUUGGAUCAGCUCUUUUAAAUUUGUAAAAGAAUCUUAGUUAUCUCACCAUAAACAAAUCAAAAUGCUAACCAAAUUUUUUGGAG
rnacentral:lncRNA from 1 species